GGGUUGCCUCCCAAGGCGACGACAGGUAGCCGGCCUGAGAGGGCGACCGGCCACACUGGGACUGAGACACGGCCCAGACUCCUACGGGAGGCAGCAGUGGGGAAUAUUGCACAAUGGGCGAAAGCCUGAUGCAGCGACGCCGCGUGAGGGAUGACGGCCUUCGGGUUGUAAACCUCUUUCAGCAGGGAAGAAGCGCAAGUGACGGUACCUGCAGAAGAAGCGCCGGCUAACUACGUGCCAGCAGCCGCGGUAAUACGUAGGGCGCAAGCGUUGUCCGGAAUUAUUGGGCGUAAAGAGCUCGUAGGCGGCUUGUCACGUCGGGUGUGAAAGCCCGGGGCUUAACCCCGGGUCUGCAUUCGAUACGGGCUAGCUAGAGUGUGGUAGGGGAGAUCGGAAUUCCUGGUGUAGCGGUGAAAUGCGCAGAUAUCAGGAGGAACACCGGUGGCGAAGGCGGAUCUCUGGGCCAUUACUGACGCUGAGGAGCGAAAGCGUGGGGAGCGAACAGGAUUAGAUACCCUGGUAGUCCACGCCGUAAACGGUGGGAACUAGGUGUUGGCGACAUUCCACGUCGUCGGUGCCGCAGCUAACGCAUUAAGUUCCCCGCCAGGGGGGAUACGGGA
rnacentral:rRNA from 1 species